ensembl:misc_RNA
AAUUAUCCCAGAGAGUUGUUUAAAAAUAGGCUGUUAUUUGAACUGUCAUCACCCCCUGAAUUGGAAGAUAAACAUUCUUCUUGUCAAGAUUUCUUAUUCAAGGAAGAA